GUGGCCUAGUGGUUAGUGCAUCCGCCUCAGAUGCGGGAGGUCGUGUGUUCGAUCCCUGUUCGAGUCA